CUACCAUGCAGUCGAACGGAAAGGCCCAAGCUUGCUUGGGUGCUCGAGUGGCGAACGGGUGAGUAACACGUGGGUGAUCUGCCCUGCACUUCGGGAUAAGCCUGGGAAACUGGGUCUAAUACCGGAUAGGACCAUCGUGUAGUGGCGGUGGUGGAAAGUUUUUUCGGUGUGGGAUGAGCUCGCGGCCUAUCAGCUUGUUGGUGGGGUAAUGGCCUACCAAGGCGUCGACGGGUAGCCGGCCUGAGAGGGUGUACGGCCACAUUGGGACUGAGAUACGGCCCAGACUCCUACGGGAGGCAGCAGUGGGGAAUAUUGCACAAUGGGCGCAAGCCUGAUGCAGCGACGCCGCGUGGGGGAUGACGGCCUUCGGGUUGUAAACUCCUUUCGCCAGGGACGAAGCGUUAUGUGACGGUCCCUGGAUAAAAACCACCGGCAAACUACU
rnacentral:rRNA from 1 species